CCUGGCAUCUGUCACCAUUCCUCCGUCCCCCUCCAGAGGCGAGGCAUUGAGAACGAGGAUUCCACGCUUAAUGGCACCUUGAGAGUAAGGGCUCCCAGGUGCCCAUCAAACUUGUCACUUUGAACAGCUGUCGCUAAGUGAGGAUGGGCCCCACCACCCUCCGUCGCGUUUUGCAUGAACAGGCCUGCAGAGCGGUGCCCCUGAAGGCGUCCGGAGCCGGAUGCGUGCCGCCCCGGCCCAGGCACGGGGGGCCACCCUCACCUGGCUUUGCUGUGGCCGUUCCAGCAUUCCUCCUCGUUGGACGUGCCGGCCGUCAUGCUUUCAUCUUUGCAGAUGGUGUAGGGCAAUGCCGACCAGACCUUUUUAGAGAGCUUCAGUUUCUCUUUUAUGUCUGUGACCUGAUCAAGAAAGCAAGGAAAGAGAGUGAAUACUCUCCCCAGGCGUUGCCCAUUUCUACACAAGGACACGACACAGGUGAAGGUUAGAGAAUCUGUGAUCGGACUAGAAUGGAACUCUUUCAGUUCAAAGGGAGAGACACCAAGCAGCAGGAUUUACUGCCCAGGCCAGCCUCCCUACCUCCUCCCUCAAUCUUCCUCUGGCUUCUGGCAGAGAGUUCUCAGGUCCAUAUAGCACACUCUUGGAUGGGGAGUAGCAGCCCAAACAUGUGGGGAAAAUCUCUACACAGGAAGAAAAAAGUCAUUCCAAAAAAAGAAGCCAGGAAGUUAAAAUGAGGUUUUGAGGAUAACCCUAAUCCAUUAUGACUGAUAUUUUUGUAAAAAGGGAGACUUUGGACACAGAGAUAGGCAUAAAGGUAAGACAAUGCAGAGAGAAGUAGGAAGAAGACAUCUACCUACAACCAAUGAGAGGGACCUGGAAGAGAACCUUCCCUCACAGCCUCAGAAAAAUCCAGUCCUUCUGACAUCUUGGUUUCAGACUUCUCACCUUCAGAGCCAGGAGACAAUAAAUUACUGUUCUUUAAGCCACCGCGAGUGCACACCCACACAGCAUCGUCGAAGGGACAACACUGAGAUUUAUACAUUUGACAUCGACAGCCUUUGGAAAUAAGUUAUUCUAUGUUUACUAGGGAUGGAGUAUAGAGUUUUACAAAAAAAAAUUCCAAGGCUCUUUUGUUAGGUUUAAGAGUGAACACAAAGGAAUAUAAGAUCUCUGUCCCAGUCAUGUUUCUUAGUAGUUCCAGAAUUAUACGGUCUUUGGCCCUUGCUUGUCUCUGAUUCUGAUGAGGAGGAUAGAGGCUUCAGUACCGAGACAUGUCUGAAAGUGCUAACAAUGGCCAGAGAACUGAAUCUGAGAACCUGGCACCUCCUCCAACGUUCCUUUUGUUUUAGGUCAUGAAAGGAACUCAGAAGCAAUGCCAGGAAGGAGCUCGCACACAGCCAUUGUUUAGGAUGACUUGAGACCUGCACUCUCUGACUUCUGCCAUUCG